rnacentral:tRNA from 1 species
GGAUUGUGACUCAGUGGUAGAGUGCUUGCCUAGCAUGUGUGAGGCACUGGGUUCAAUCCUCAGCAUCA